AGUGUGACAGGGCUAGUUCCAAUGAUUCCAAUACAUACUGUCUCCUAAGUCUACAAUCAUAACUAAACCAUUUCAGUCAGAGGGAAAUAGGGAAUAUAGUGGCAAGGAAGCAAAUCACAUAGCAAGAGGGUGACAGAGGUUAAAUCACUACAUCAACAGAGAGUGGUGUAGUAAAGGGAGGAAGGGCUGGGAAAACUGCAUGAGGGUGGAUUACAGAGAGCUCUGAAUGCCAUUCUUGGUAGGAUAAAAUGUGAGAACUGAACCCCAACUGAGAAGGUGCCAAUUAAUUCAGGUGGCACUGACCUGUGAGGCUGAGGAGGUCUUAAUCACCAGAACACUAAAUGCUCAUUAUCCAACCUUUUAAUUAGCAAAGAAACUACCCUGUCUGGAAAAGUUUUCAGCAAAGAACUAAGAUUUGAUCAUGCUGUUAAAGAAAAAAAAAGAAAAGAAAAAAACAAUCCUCUGAUCUCUCCCAGGCAACAAAUCUUGUAUUUCAGAUGUAUGUUUUCAUAUCUUCCAGGUCCCAAUUGGAGAGAAAAUGAGGAAAAGGAGGAACAGAUGGGACUAAAAGCAGAAGGCACCUGAUGAAAGAGAAAAAGCAAGGCUGGGGGAAGGGUGUUUAGAGAAGGACUGGGAGAACAAAAGCAAAGAAUCUGAAAUGAGAGCAUGCUUUCUUCCGUUCCCAUGAACUUCAGAAUGAGCCACAUCUUUACUCAAAGCCUCCUCUGCUAUUUAUAUGUGUGACCUUAGGCUCUACAACCAUUCCAAAGAAAAACAGAUUAUAUGAACCUCUGGACUCUGGAGUAAGCAUGGCUCUAAUGCUCUGGAGGACACAUCCUUAUUCUCCAAGAUCUCUAUCAAGUCAUUUAGGUAAGUUUAAUA
rnacentral:lncRNA from 1 species